GUGAAUCAUCAAAUCUUUGAACGCAAAUUGCACUCUCUUCGGAGAGUAUGCCUGUUUGAGGGUCAGCCUAAAAAAAAAAUCGACAUAGUCGUUGUUUUGUGGUAACAUUCGUUGGAAAUUGGGUAAUUUUAAACCUUUGGUUUUUAAGCUCCUUAAAAUUUUUUUUACGUUUCCAGGACAGUUUUUGAGUUUUCUUUUUUAUAAGUUUAAGGUAUCG
rnacentral:misc_RNA from 1 species